rnacentral:rRNA from 1 species
GACGAACGCUGGCGGCGCGCCUAACACAUGCAGGUCGAACGAGCGAGAGAGAGCUUGCUUUCUCGAGCGAGUGGCGAACGGGUGAGUAACGCGUGAGGAACCUGCCUCAAAGAGGGGGACAACAGUUGGAAACGACUGCUAAUACCGCAUAAGCCCACGGUGCCGCAUGGCACAGAGGGAAAAGGAGCAAUCCGCUUUGAGAUGGCCUCGCGUCCGAUUAGCUAGUUGGUGAGGUAAUGGCCCACCAAGGCGACGAUCGGUAGCCGGACUGAGAGGUUGAACGGCGACAUUGAGACUGAGACACGGCCCAGACUCCUACGGGAGGCAGCAGUGGGGAAUAUUGCACAAUGGGGGAAACCCUGAUGCAGCGACGCCGCGUGGAGGAAGAAGGUCUUCGGAUUGUAAACUCCUGUUGUUGGGGAAGAUAAUGACGGUACCCAACAAGGAAGUGACGGCUAACUACGUA